GUAGGUGGCAAGCGUUGUCCGGAAUUAUUGGGCGUAAAGCGCGCGCAGGCGGUUCUUUAAGUCUGAUGUGAAAGCCCACGGCUCAACCGUGGAGGGUCAUUGGAAACUGGAGAACUUGAGUACAGAAGAGGAAAGCGGAAUUCCACGUGUAGCGGUGAAAUGCGUAGAGAUGUGGAGGAACACCAGCGGCGAAGGCGGCUUUCUGGUCUGUAACUGACGCUGAGGCGCGAAAGCGUGGGGAGCAAACAGGAUUAGAUACCCUGGUAGUCCACGCCGUAAACGAUGAGUGCUAAUGUUAGGGGGGUUUCCGCCCCCCUUAGUGCUGCAGCUAACGCAUUAAGCACUCCGCCUGGGAGUACGGCCGCAAGGCUG
rnacentral:rRNA from 1 species